GCCUGGGAUCCAUGUGGGCUGCCACGUGGUUCCCCACCGGCUCCGGACGCAAGAGAGCAGGAUGGAGAAAGCAGCUUGCUGGAGAACACGUGAAUGGCUCCAUGUGGUCUGCAAGUCAGUGGCUGCUGCUUCUGUCCCCUGCUGCUGCUUGCCUGGGAGAGAAAAACUUCCAGAGCAUUAAACAAAGGAUGUUGAAAGCAGAACAGAAAGGUGUGGAGAAGAAGAUUCUGUUGUACAAUAGCUGUUGUCUUGUCCAGCAGGCUGUCUGAAAAAUAAAGCCACCAAAACACCCUGACAAGUCAAGUUGAGGCAGCCUUCCUCUCUGAACUAUGAUCAAUUGUUGUGACACUAUAAAACUGCCAUGGGGUAAUGCCACAAAAUCAAAGCUGUGAGGAUAAUACCUUACCUCAAGCUUAUUUUCUCCUCUAAAAAGGCUUGCUUUCGAAACUAUCUUAGACAGAACUUUCAUCUCCUUGAAAAUAAUCAAUAAAACAUCAUAACACAUGUGAGUUAGCUGAAACAAGCAUAAAUUAAAAUGCUAGACCAAAUGGA